rnacentral:rRNA from 1 species
UGCAAGUCGAGCGAGCUUGCCUAGAUGAUUUUAGUGCUUGCAACUAAUGAAACUAGAUACAAGCGAGCGGCGGACGGGUGAGUAACACGUGGGUAACCUGCCCAAGAGACUGGGAUAACACCUGGAAACAGAUGCUAAUACCGGAUAACAACACUAGACGCAUGUCUAGAGUUUUGAAAGAUGGUUCUGCUAUCACUCUUGGAUGGACCUGCGGUGCAUUAGCUAGUUGGUAAGGUAACGGCUUACCAAGGCAAUGAUGCAUAGCCGAGUUGAGAGACUGAUCGGCCACAUUGGGACUGAGACACGGCCCAAACUCCUACGGGAGGCAGCAGUAGGGAAUCUUCCACAAUGGACGAAAGUCUGAUGGAGCAACGCCGCGUGAGUGAAGAAGGGUUUCGGCUCGUAAAGCUCUGUUGGUAGUGAAGAAAGAUAGAGGUAGUAACUGGCCUUUAUUUGACGGUAAUUACUUAGAAAGUCACGGCUAACUACGUG